AUACAGAGGGUGCGAGCGUUAAUCGGAAUUACUGGGCGUAAAGCGCGCGUAGGCGGCUGAUUAAGUCAGAUGUGAAAUCCCAGGGCUCAACCUUGGAACUGCAUCUGAUACUGGUCGGCUAGAGUUUAGGAGAGGGAAGUAGAAUUUCAGGUGUAGCGGUGAAAUGCAUAGAUAUCUGAAGGAAUACCAGUGGCGAAGGCGGCUUCCUGGCCUAAAACUGACGCUGAGGUGCGAAAGCGUGGGUAGCAAACGGGAUUAGAAACCCCGGUAGUCC
rnacentral:rRNA from 1 species